rnacentral:rRNA from 1 species
AUUGAACGCUGGCGGCAGGCUUAACACAUGCAAGUCGAACGAGUGGCGGACGGGUGAGUAAUGCUUGGGAAUCUAGCUCAUGGAGGGGGAUAACUACGGGAAAAUGUAGCUAAUACCGCGUACCAUAGGAUGAGCCCAAGUGGGAUUAGGUAGUUGGUGAGGUAAAGGCUCACCAAGACGACGAUCUCUAGCGGGUCUGAGAGGAUGACCAGCCACACUGGGACUGAGACACGGCCCAGACUCCUACGGGAGGCAGCAGGGGGGAAUAUUGCGCAAUGGGGGCAACCCUGACGCAGCCAUGCCGCGUGAAUGAAGAAGGCCUUCGGGUUGUAAAGUUCUUUCAGCGAGGAGGCGUUACCCGCAGAAGAAGCACCGGCUAACUCCGUGCCAGCAGCCGCGGUAAUUC